UCAGGUGGCCCACUGGUUAGGGCGUUUGCCUCUUAUGCGGGAGGUCGCCAGUUUAAACCCCAGCUGAA